rnacentral:rRNA from 1 species
CUGCUGCCUUCCGUAGGAGUCUGGUCCGUGUCUCAGUACCAGUGUGGGGGACCUUCCUCUCAGAACCCCUACGCAUCGUCGCCUCGGUGGGCCGUUACCCCGCCGACUAGCUAAUGCGCCGCAUGGCCAUCCGCAGCCGAUGAAUCUUUAACCGCCGAGGGAUGCCCCUCUGCGGUGUUACGCGGUAUUAGACGGAAUUUCUUCCGCUUAUCCCCCUGCUGCGGGCAGGUUCCAUACGUGUUACUCACCCGUGCGCCGGUCCG